CAAUAGUGUAUAUUAAAGUUGUUGCAGUUAAAAAGCUCGUAGUUGAACUUCUGGCAGCGUGUAGAUUUGGCUACGGUCAGUCUAUAUGUUGUCAUCCGUCUGCAAACUUUGUACGGCCUUUAGUGGUUCGGCAAGGGGAGUAGACAUUUUACUUUGAAAAAAUUAGAGUGUUUCAAGCAGGCUUUUGCCAGAAUACUUUAGCAUGGAAUAAUGGAAUAGGACUCUUGUCCAUUUGGUUGGUUAUUGGACCGGAGUAAUGAUUAAUAGGGACAGUUGGGGGCAUUAGUAUUUAAUUGUCAGAGGUGAAAUUCUUGGAUUUAUUAAAGACUAACUUAUGCGAAAGCAUUUGCCAAGGAUGUUUUCAUUGA
rnacentral:rRNA from 1 species